GAGCUUGCUUUUGUAACUUAGUGGCGAACGGGUGAGUAAUGCGUGAGCACCUGCCCUUCAGAGGGGGACAACAGUUGGAAACGACUGCUAAUACCGCAUAAUGAGGCAUCUCCAAAGAGAAAUCGCUGAAGGAUGGGCUCACGUCUGAUUAGCUAGUUGGUGAGGUAACGGCUCACCAAGGCUGCGAUCAGUAGCCGGACUGAAGGUUGAACGGCCACAUUGGGACUGAGAUACGGCCCAGACUCCUACGGGAGGCAGCAGUGGGGAAUAUUGGGCAAUGGGCGAAAGCCUGACCCAGCAACGCCGCGUGAAGGAAGAAGGCCUUCGGGUUGUAAACUUCUUUUAAGAGGGACGAAGAGUGACGGUACCUCUUGAAUAAGCCACGGCUAACUACGUGCCAGCAGCCGCGGUAAUACGUAGGUGGCGAGCGUUAUCCGGAUUUACUGGGUGUAAAGGGCGCGUAGGCGGGAAUGCAAGUCAGAUGUGAAAUCUAGGGGCUUAACCCCUAAACUGCAUUUGAAACUGUAUUUCUUGAGUGUCGGAGAGGUUGACGGAAUUCCUAGUGUAGCGGUGAAAUGCGUAGAUAUUAGGAGGAACACCAGUGGCGAAGGCGGUCAACUGGACGAUAACUGACGCUGAGGCGCGAAAGCGUGGGGAGCAAACAGGAUUAGAUACCCUGGUAGUCCACGCCGUANACGAUGAAUACUAGGUGUGGGGCGACUGACCCUCCUGCCGCAGAUAACACAAUAAGUA
rnacentral:rRNA from 1 species